AACGAACGCUGGCGGCAUGCCUAACACAUGCAAGUCGAACGAGACCUUCGGGUCGAGUGGCGCACGGGUGCGUAACGCGUGGGAACCUGCCCUUAGGUUCGGAAUAACUCCCCGAAAGGGGUGCUAAUACCGGAUAAUGUCUUCGGACCAAAGAUUUAUCGCCUUUGGAUGGGCCCGCGUUGGAUUAGCUAGUUGGUAGGGUAAAAGCCUACCAAGGCGACGAUCCAUAGCUGGUCUGAGAGGAUGAUCAGCCACACUGGGACUGAGACACGGCCCAGACUCCUACGGGAAGCAGCAGUGGGGAAUAUUGGACAAUGGGCGAAAGCCUGAUCCAGCAAUGCCGCGUGAGUGAUGAAGGCCUUAGGGUUGUAAAGCUCUUUUACCCGGGAUGAUAAUGACAGUACCGGGAGAAUAAGCUCCGGCUAACUACGUG
rnacentral:rRNA from 1 species